rnacentral:rRNA from 1 species
AUGUCUGGGAAACUGCCUGAUGGAGGGGGGAGUAACUAACUGGAAACGGUGGCUAAUACCGCAUAAUGUCUACGGACCAAAGCAGGGGCUCUUCGGACCUUGCACUAUCGGAUGAACCCAUAUGGGAUUAGCUAGUAGGUGGGGUAAAGGCUCACCUAGGCGACGAUCUCUAGCUGGUCUGAGAGGAUGAUCAGCCACACUGGGACUGAGACACGGCCCAGACUCCUACGGGAGGCAGCAUG